rnacentral:rRNA from 1 species
CUAGCUGUAAACGAUGGAUACUAGGCGUUGAGAGUAUCGACCCUCUCAGUGUCGUAGCUAACGCGUUAAGUAUCCCGCCUGGGGAGUACGCGCGCAAGCGUGAAACUCAAAGGAAUUGACGGGGGCCCGCACAAGCGGUGGAGUAUGUGGUUUAAUUCGACGCAACGCGAAGAACCUUACCAGGGCUUGACAUGUCCGGAACCCUGCCCAAAGGCGGGGGUGCCUACGGGAACCGGAACACAGGUGGUGC